ACGAUGAACCACUUCGGUGGGGAUUAGUGGCGAACGGGUGAGUAACACGUGGGCAAUCUGCCCUGCACUCUGGGACAAGCCCUGGAAACGGGGUCUAAUACCGGAUACUGACCAUCACGGGCAUCUGUGGUGGUCGAAAGCUCCGGCGGUGCAGGAUGAGCCCGCGGCCUAUCAGCUUGUUGGUGAGGUAAUGGCUCACCAAGGCGACGACGGGUAGCCGGCCUGAGAGGGCGACCGGCCACACUGGGACUGAGACACGGCCCAGACUCCUACGGGAGGCAGCAGUGGGGAAUAUUGCACAAUGGGCGAAAGCCUGAUGCAGCGACGCCGCGUGAGGGAUGACGGCCUUCGGGUUGUAAACCUCUUUCAGCAGGGAAGAAGCGAAAGUGACGGUACCUGCAGAAGAAGCGCCGGCUAACUACGUGCCAGCAGCCGCGGUAAUACGUAGGGCGCGAGCGUUGUCCGGAAUUAUUGGGCGUAAAGAGCUCGUAGGCGGCUUGUCACGUCGGUUGUGAAAGCCCGGGGCUUAACCCCGGGUCUGCAGUCGAUACGGGCAGGCUAGAGUUCGGUAGGGGAGAUCGGAAUUCCUGGUGUAGCGGUGAAAUGCGCAGAUAUCAGGAGGAACACCGGUGGCGAAGGCGGAUCUCUGGGCCGAUACUGACGCUGAGGAGCGAAAGCGUGGGGAGCGAACAGGAUUAGAUACCCUGGUAGUCCACGCCGUAAACGGUGGGCACUAGGUGUGGGCAACAUUCCACGUUGUCCGUGCCGCAGCUAACGCAUUAAGUGCCCCGC
rnacentral:rRNA from 1 species